UUCCCUACCGACGAGGCAGACCCACGACUCCGCGCUGCCGCCAUCGUCCGUGCGCCUGCCGCCACCCUGUGCCGGCGACGGGCGACCUACCCCCGCUGGGGUCACCUCUUAUUUCCCCGCAAUGUCUCACCUUCUCUCUGAGAUCCAGCCCAUGGGAUGGAUGAGAACGAGAUCCCCUUCACAGACCUCCUCCUCCUGCUCUUGCCUGAAGUAGCAACAACAUUGGGCGACGACGAUGGUCGUUAACUCCUCAUUUCCAUGGUCCAGUCCACGCUCGGCCGCGAGGGCACCGGGCUGCUGGCCGUCGCCGGCACACCGCACGCGAUCUCCCUCCACCACCCGCUCCUCCCCCUGGUCCGCAACCUCGCCUCCAUGGACCACCCAUCAGGCGCCUACCUCCUAAAGAAGCACGGUGUGGGAAGUGACCUGCCUCUGAUGAAACCUGCAGGAGCUUUGGACAGCCACUGAUUGGUUUUUUUGUUGCACCACAUUUUAUUGGCUGUAGGCUGAAGAUUUCGAACUUCUCGAGGCUCAUCAUAUAGCCUAAACCUACAAGACAUUGGUGUUGAAAGGUUGAAACAAAGGACCGGAGUUUCGCACCAAUGCUCCAACGCAGAAGUCAGCAAUAUGAGAGAAUGAAUAAUAGAAUCUCAUGCUCAUGGGACAAAGAUUAGGGAAGGAGUUCACACGACAGUCCACAAUUAAAGUAAGUACUUUUGAUACUUAUAUAAUUAUUUCUAAUGCUCCACAUUUACAGGGUCCAAGCCUGGAAGUGCAAGUAGUUACUAUAAGUUAGGAAUGUAUGAACCAGGUCGAGUCAUUCUUGAUAGUACUUAUGACCUCCUUCAUGCCUGGCUCAUGUUCUCUGAGAAGGAGAAUCAUGGAUGGAGCUUGGAGGAUCUGCUGAAGGAGAAUCAUGGAUGUAGCCUGGAGGAUCUACUAACCGAGAUGUACCGCGUCAUGAGGCCUCAUGGUUAUGCCAUUAUUACUUUAUAAGAGGCAAAGCCGCUAUCAUAGAGUACUAAGAAGCUUUUACAUGCGAUGUGAUGAUGAUGAAAGAGUCUUAAUCGGGAGAAAAAAAAUCUAUGGGAUUAGGCUAUGAUAUUACCGUCAUAAGAUUUUGAUCGUUCCUUCUUUCCAUUGUAAUCUAGCUUUUGUUGGGUGCUUUUGUUUGAGCUUUUUUUUUAUUUAGAACUUCAAUUUUGACACAUUGGAUCUAUUUCAGUUUCAUUUUAGUAUAGAUUAAUACUUGCAAAACUACAAUUAGACUCGGAUGAGCAUAAUCCUAAGUUCACAAUGGGUAUGCCAUUAUUACUUUUAUGUUUAUUUUUGUACCUUAUAAACAAAGUGGAAUAUUAAUAUUUUUUGAAUACCA